rnacentral:rRNA from 1 species
GUUAGGGCACGACACCGGAGAGGGAGCCUGAGAAACGGCUACCACAUCCAAGGAAGGCAGCAGGCGCGCAAAUUACCCAAUCCCGACACGGGGAGGUAGUGACAAUAAAUAACAAUACAGGGUUCUUUUGGAUCUUGUAAUUGGAAUGAGUACAAUUUAAAUCUCUUAACGAGGAACAAUUGGAGGGCAAGUCUGGUGCCAGCAGCCGCGGUAAUUCCAGCUCCAAUAGCGUAUAUUAAAGUUGUUGCAGUUAAAAAGCUCGUAGUUGAAUUUCGGGAUCAAUGUUUCGGUCAUGCCGUUGGUAUGUACUGAUAUUAUUGGUUUCUCACCUUCUAAAGAACCGUAAUGCCAUUAAUUUGGUGUCACGGGGAAUUAGGACUGUUACCUUGAAAAAUUAGAGUGUUUAAAGCAGGCUCACGCUUGAAUACAUUAGCAUGGAAUAAUGAAAUAGGACAUCCAAUUCUAUUUUGUUGGUUUCUAGGAUCGAUGUAAUGAUUAAUAGGGAUAGUUGGGGGCAUUAGUAUUCAAUUGUCAGAGGUGAAAUUCUUGGAUUUAUUAAAGACUAACUACUGCGAAAGCAUUUGCCUAAGGAUGUUUUCAUUAAUCAAGAACGAAAGUUAGGGGAUCGAAGACGAUCAGAUACCGUCGUAGUCUUAACCAUAAACUAUGCCGACUAGGGAUCGGAUGAU